ACGUACACAAGCAAAGCUGAAAAGUAUUAGAAAGUUGAAUGUUAUCGUUUUGACUUGUUUCAUGUGUAGUAAGUGUACCGAAUUGCUGACUUGACCAUAGCAUGCAUCGCUUUUUCGUCUGGAGAAAUAGACUCAGCUUGCUUCGAAGAUGUACGUACCUGUACCUAAGCCUGAUCCAUAUAAUCGUUUCAUCAAAGGUGCUUCGAAUAUCAUAGCGUUCCAAAAGAGCAAACCAGAUACUCAUUGCCAUAUAGUUUGCGCACAAAGUUUCCCAUCCAGUAAGCCAGAUCAGCUGGAGGCAUAUCCAGUAGUGGGAUCGGGACUGUUGGUCAGCAGGAGAAAUAAGUCGAGAACAUGCCCAGUCAGUCCAGAUAGCUUUAGAUAGUAUCUCCUUCUCCUUUGCAUCAGUUACUGGAUCUACAAACCUACUAAAACUUGCUAUUACGUCUAGCCAUAGAUAUAGGAGAGAGGGAUUGGAAACGGAAGUAGAUUUCAAUGUACUUCACAUAUGACCUCGAUAAACAUCCGCGCCUCGCUUAAUGAGGGCUAAUUUAUUCCCCAGUAACCUCGCGGGUAACUGAGAUUAUUGCAAAUUUAGGAUUUUAUGAGUUGUCACUAGUAUUCUGUCAAGUUUUCCAGUAUCCAGUGCAACUGUGCUUUAUAUAGAUAGUGAAUAACCAUUAUUCAAGCUCUAUUUACCGUUGCAACUAUCUUCUUCAUUGAAUUUAGCAAUACCUCGCAAGCCAAAACUUACUGAGUACGCUGAAGAAAAGAAGACAGAAGAAUACCCCUCCUCUCUACACCCUACACGUCACCUCCCUCGUAAAUGUUAUCGGCUGUUCCGGCUAUAUAUACACCCUUGUAUACCUCACCAGCUUCUCUCCAUCUAAGACUGUCUGAUUAGAGUGCUAAACUAAUCAUAAUUAUAGCUGUAAUAAUCAUUUUUAUCGUGUAAGUUUUUGUUAAUGUUGUUCGGUUUGA